AAGUCGUAACAAGGUUUCCGUAGGUGAACCUGCGGAAGGAUCAUUAAAGAAUUCGGCUUCGCGGCCAAGUUCUCACCCUUUGUAUACCGAAACUAUGUUGCUUGGCAUGGCCCCGUGCCAUUUCUUCGGGCCUGGCCCAGCAGGUUGAUUAAACCCACUAGAAUCUCUGCUGUCUGAGUACUAUGCAAUAGUUAAAA
rnacentral:misc_RNA from 1 species